GCGGAGGACGGCGCGCGGAGCCUUCUGGGAGGCGCAGUUCCCGCGAGCGCGCACGCGCGCACUACGACUCCCGUGCAGAUGACGCCCUGGGUCGGGCUGUGGGGCCACCGACGUGCUGGAGGGGUUCCCCGCUGGAGCACCGGUGCCGGGCAGGGUAGGGGCGCGUAGCAUGCAUUCGAGGCCCCAAAGCAGCAAACCUGUAACGCGUUGGGAGAGAAGGAGUAAAAUUUCGACUGCCAGCGCGGUGUGGUGACGCACGCCUGCAACCCCAGCGCUCGGGAGGAGGCUGAUGGAGGAGCAUCACCGAGUUCCUCGGCACACAGCAACAACCUAUUUCCAAAGGUGUGAGCCGGAACGCAUUUUAAAAAACCAAAUCCAAGCCCGGUGUGGUUUAUCACAGCUCUCCGGAGGCUGAGGCUAGUGGGCUUCCGUGAGUCCCGCACCGUCCAGGCCCACACAGUGGGAACCUGUACAUGAAUAAAUAAAGACAUUUAUAAGAUUGA